rnacentral:lncRNA from 1 species
AGAAUUUUGAGACCAAAUAAUAUCAACAUGUAGUGAACCAUGGAAGAACAUUCCUUGUGGAUAUUCAGAAAAAAAUGUUUGGUGCUACUUGAGGCAAGAACAUACCUCUCAUGCUGAUCUAACGAUAGACUAAAUCUAAUCACACCAAAGCAGGAAAAAGAUCGGAUGUGGACUUCCGCAUGACUCCCGUCACUACGAGGAGGCUUCGCGGCACAUGAUCACUUUUGAGAGAUGGACGUGCGCUGUCACGGGCUUUUGAAAUAUUUUGCUGGAAUUAUGGAAACAAAAUGCAUGUUAUAUUUCACAUGUAGAAAAAAAGAUAGCACGGGCAUAAUCGAGUAAUAAUUUAAGUCCACUUCACUUACAUUGUAAAUUGUUAACAAAAGGCAAUUUGACAAUGCAUACAUAUAGAGCGAUGAUCCAACUAAAAAUCUAUUACAAAUUAAUAUCUAUUUGAUGCGUUUAAGAAAUUCUCGCACAAUAUUAGCAAUGUUGUCUUUAGUUUCAUUUGCACAAUAUUUGAGCAAGUAUAAUAAAAAUGUCUUCCUCACCGGCCUUCGGGUCCGUCCACUUUCAUGCCAACCACGGUGGCCAACCUUGACCCAGGCUUCGACUUCUUUGCUUGCGCGAUGGCGGACGCCUCGCUUACUCGAAAACACCAUGAUGGACACCAUCCACCCUACCUUGCCUACCGGCAGCACUUUUCUUCCGGCACGGGCUCGCCGACCACCUCUCUCUCAGGAUCCUCUCCACAACUACACGGUGGCCGGAGCCAACCGUCCGCCAUGACUGCUCCACCACCACCCCGAGGCUCGACAUGAGUCAACUUUAAUCGUGUCAAACAUACAUUGUUUGGAUCCUCAUGCACAUUAAGCAACAUUCUUGAUUUUUUCUGCCUAUAAACCACUAUUAUUCUUCGUCUUUGUUCUCCUGCUCCUCUUCACUUACUAUCUCUACCGUCCCUAUCCAAGCCAGCCGCAAUCAUCAAUGUCCCAUCCGGCUCAAAAUCCCCAAACCUUCUACACCCAUACUAUGAAUUUUAAGGGACCUUUUGCCAUUAUUUUAUCCUUCAAAGUCUACAAACUAUAAUAUCAAUGUAGAAGUAAUUAGUGUAAACUCCUUUAUGCCCGCUCAUGGCCACUACGACCACAACUCUGUCGUCUCACCUACAUGAUGUGUGUCCACUCCCACAAUUUCCCCCUUACUCUGGCGAGGCCUCCAUUACUUUUGAAUAUUUUGUUCGGAUUAUUUGCCAUCAAGGAGAAAUUAGCAUAUUGCGCAUGAACAUAUGUGAUAAAAGUUCCUGCGAUUUGACACUACAGAGGUAGAGCAACAUGAAAAUAAAAGAGCAUGCUUCUAAUCUUCAAACUUCUUAGUUUAAAAAAAUGGCGAUAACCUUACAACAUUUUCCAGACUCUUGUCCAUACUGAAAAUGGUUCAUGCAUUAAGGAACACCACACAAAGUAUGGAAUCCAAAAAAACUAACAACAAGCGACAGUGACAUGGAUGGCUACCUUAUUGCUUUGGAAGUGGAUGGCAUGAGCCGUCGCUUAGAUGCACGAAACAGUCCCGACCAUGUACAGCUAGCCAAGAAACGUUGGGUCAAAACAAGGAGUUGGUACCUUGAGCAACGACGCCAUCGCGUUGACAUUUGCCCAACCCAACUGCUCAUGGCCAUCCUCGGCCACCACCUAUCCACCUGGACACACUCCUCUAGACCCAGGCGUUCUGAACGGCAUCCUCCCUGCUUCCCCAGCAUGAUGGCCGACUACCGUAACUUCUCUAGAGUGAAUCCUUCCAAAGGCGCUGCCGACAACAUCAUCCCUGUGGUGAUGCGUCUUCCUUCUUGUGCCUUUUGCUCCAUUGACCUCCUUCCUAUGAAAUUUCGGUAACAAGGUACAUUUCAGUAAUCAGUAAAAAAAUGCAGAUUUUAGUACAAGAGAAAUGAGCGUCUUGACAAAGGUUUAGUAGAAAUCAGAUUUCCGUACAACAAGAUAUUUUAGUACCUACUAAAAAGAAUAGUACAAGGGCAAUCAUCCGAACAAUAUCAUCAUAAGUAUGAACUAAACCUUUAGUCGCAGCAGGUACCUACUAAAUAGGAAGUGGAUGAUAUUCAUAUUACCCAUGUCAUCUCAAUAUCAUCAUAUGUUUAUUGUAGAAAAUCAUAAGCAUCAACACCACUACCUGGAAGACAUAUCUCCUAGCUUCUUUAUGAUUCAGAAUUCAACCCCAUGGAAGCUAAUAUGAAUAUCAUCUCAAGGAUCUAGAUAAAAUACCUGGAACAAAACUCAAUGAAGAACCAUAACAUCGAUCGAAACUAAACAUGAAAAUUUUGAACUCGCUGACUUUAUAUCAGUCUAGUAGUAAUAGUAGUACAAUCGCUGGUAGAAAAUGCAAUUCUCAACGUGCAUAUAGAUAUGCUAUUAUCUUGCUGCUAGAAAAUGUAGCGCUCAAGGUACAUAUAGAUAUGCCAUUGUCUUGCUGUGAAAUAGACUGCUUGGUUUGUUAGCUAGAUUAGGAAACCUAAGCUUUCCAACAAUUCCAAUCUGGAAGCACAAUCAGACCUCAUAGCCUUAAAGAUAAAUGAAAAGCAAUCAAACCAUUGGCGAGAACUUCUAAUUACGGCUCCGAGAGAACUCUAAUCCAUUUGUAAUUUGCCUAGAAAUAAAAUCAAUCAAACUGUAAUUUGCCUAGAAACAUGACCUCAAUGGCAUGCAUACCAUCACCUUUCAUAUCUUUUGUGGCAUUAAAUGAUUGUUGCAUUGUCUACGGAUGAGCCAAAAUUGCUAUGCCCCCAGUUCUACAAAUUAGAUGCACAAUAGAUUCCCCAUUCAGCCUAAUACCGCUGCAAAUGAACAAUAGAAAUCCACAUUAGUAAAUACAUCACGUCCCUGGUUAAGUAGUUAAUUUCAAGCCCAAAAAAUUAACACACUCCUGGCCAACAAUGUGCACGGUUAACCAUGAGCUACCGCAUCCUUGCCAAGUGUCCUCGUCCCACUCUUCCACUUGGCGUGAGGCCUCAACGGGACCUGCAUGAUCUAUCCAUCAGCGCAUUGACAGGAUUGUUACCAAAAUUCUUGUUCCUGUGAUCAAGCGGGAGGAGUACCGUGUAAAAUUCUGGCAUCCUGCUGUUGUGACAAGAAUGCAUCCUAUGACAAAAAUGUAUCCGACAUCCUCAAUCUCAAGCUAGAAAAAGACACGAGUCUCUUACUUACUAUGACAAAGUUACCAAUGUUUUUAUCAUUAAUUUAAGACGCAAAGCCUCAGGAUUGACAUGAGUAACAUGAAAGACCUUGGGAAAUAUGAAGAAAUUAGGCACACUUUUUUGUGCAUGAUGUGAAGUAGUAGUAAAAAAUCAAAAUGUCUCAUCUAGUGUUUAGUUCUGCAUACCAAGGUUAUAGUUAUACAAGUACAACGAUUAUUCAGACAAGAUCAGCAAGGAGAUGAGAGGAUGCGCUCGCGGUUGUUCUAAAAAUCGGUAGUUGGAGUCAACUUGCUUAAUUCUAUGUGCAUGCAUAUUCAAAACAACAUGGAGAAUCGUUGUAGGUUGGCUUGGGGGUACCUUUGCAACAUGGAGAAUUAUUGUAGGUUGGCUUGCUGAAUUCUGUGUGCAUGCAUAUUUUGCAGUUGAUUAUGCGGCAUCCUCAUGGUGUAAUCUUCUGCUGAUUCGUUGGGAGUACCAUUGCCACCUGAUCUGUAGAAGAUAAUACUCCACCCAUA